AGCAGUCGCCGCGGUAAUACAGAGGGUGCGAGCGUUAAUCGGAUUUACUGGGCGUAAAGCGUGCGUAGGCGGCUAAUUGAGUCGGAUGUGAAAUCCCCGAGCUUAACUUGGGAAUUGCAUUCGAUACUGGUUAGCUAGAGUGUGGGAGAGGAUGGUAGAAUUCCAGGUGUAGCGGUGAAAUGCGUAGAGAUCUGGAGGAAUACCGAUGGCGAAGGCAGCCAUCUGGCCUAACACUGACGCUGAGGUACGAAAGCAUGGGGAGCAAACAGGAUUAGAUACCCGUGUAGUCCCUGUCUCUUAUAA
rnacentral:rRNA from 1 species